rnacentral:rRNA from 1 species
UACGGGGGGAGCAAGCGUUGUCCGGAAUUAUUGGGCGUAAAGAGCUCGUAGGCGGUCUGUCGCGUCGGAUGUGAAAGCCCGGGGCUUAACCCCGGGUCCGUGCAUUCGAUACGGGCAGACUAGAGUGUGGUAGGGGAGGAUCGGAAUUCCUGGUGUAGCGGUGAAAUGCGCAGAUAUCAGGAGGAACACCGGUGGCGAAGGCGGAUCUCUGGGCCAUUACUGACGCUGAGGAGCGAAAGCGUGGGGAGCGAACAGG